CGCGCCCACGUGUGGGCGUUUGACGGUACCGUAAGAAUAAGGACCGGCUAACUCCGUGCCAGCAGCCGCGGUAAUACGGAGGGUCCGAGCGUUAUCCGGAAUCAUUGGGUUUAAAGGGUCCGUAGGCGGGCCUGUAAGUCAGGGGUGAAAGUUUGUGGCUCAACCAUAAAAUUGCCUUUGAUACUGCAGGUCUUGAGUCAUGGUGGGGUUGCCGGAACAUGUGGUGUAGCGGUGAAAUGCAUAGAUAUCACAUAGAACACCGAUCGCGAAGGCAGGUGACCAACCAUGUACUGACGCUGAUGGACGAAAGCGUGGGUAGCGAACGGGAUUAGAUACCCCGGUAGUCCACGCCGUAAACGAUGGAUACUAGCUGUGGGGACUUCGGUCUCCGUGGCCAAGCGAAAGUGAUAAGUAUCCCACCUGGGGAGUACGUUCGCAAGAAUGAAACUCAAAGGAAUUGACGGGGGCCCGCACAAGCGGUGGAGCAUGUGGUUUAAUUCGAUGAUACGCGAGGAACCUUACCAGGGCUUAAAUGCAGGCUGCAUGGGGUAGAGAUACCCCUUUCUUCGGACCGCCUGCAAGGUGCUGCAUGGUUGUCGUCAGCUCGUGCCGUGAGGUGUCAGGUUAAGUCCUAUAACGAGCGCAACCCCUACCGUUAGUUGCCAGCAUGUCAAGAUGGGGACUCUAACGGGACUGCCGGUGCAAACCGUGAGGAAGGUGGGGACGACGUCAAAUCAUCACGGCCCUUACGUCCUGGGCUACACACGUGCUACAAUGGCCGGUACAGAGGGAAGCCACCCCGCAAGGGGGCGCGGAUCUACAAAACCGGUCACAGUUCGGAUCGGGGUCUGCAACUCGACCCCGUGAAGCUGGAAUCGCUAGUAAUCGGAUAUCAGCCAUGAUCCGGUGAAUACGUUCCCGGGCCUUGUACACACCGCCCGUCAAGCCAUGGAAGCCGGGAGUGCCUGAAGUCCGUCACCGAGAGGAGCGGC
rnacentral:rRNA from 1 species